rnacentral:rRNA from 1 species
AUACGUAGGGGGCAAGCGUUGUCCGGAAUUAUUGGGCGUAAAGCGCGCGCAGGCGGUUCUUUAAGUCUUGUGUUUAAUCCCGGGGCUCAACCCUGGUGCGCAUGGGAAACUGGAGGACUGGAGUGCAGGAGAGGGAAGUGGAAUUCCACGUGUAGCGGUGAAAUGCGUAGAGAUGUGGAGGAACACCAGUGGCGAAGGCGACUUUCUGGCCUGUAACUGACGCUGAGGCGCGAAAGCGUGGGGAGCAAACAGGAUUAGAUACCCUGGUAGUCCACGCCGUAAACGAUGAGUGCUAGGUGUCGGGGGUUUCGAUACCCACGGUGCCGAAGUCAACACAGUAAGCACUCCGCCUGGGGAGUACGCUCGCAAGAGUGAA